UACGGGGGGGGCAAGCGUUGUUCGGAAUUACUGGGCGUAAAGGGCGCGUAGGCGGCCUGUUAAGUCGAACGUGAAAUCCCCGGGCUCAACCCGGGAACUGCGUCCGAUACUGGCAGGCUUGAAUCCGGGAGGGGGAUGCGGAAUUCCAGGUGUAGCGGUGAAAUGCGUAGAUAUCUGGAGGAACACCGGUGGCGAAGGCGGCAUCCUGGACCGGCAUUGACGCUGAGGCGCGAAAGCCAGGGGAGCAAACGGG
rnacentral:rRNA from 1 species